GUUUUUUCAAGUUUGUGUGCAAGGUGACCAAAAAUAAAUGGCCACAGGCGUGUAAACGUUUGCAAAGCAUGACGGGAGUUGUUUACGGUUCUUUGAUACGGCAGGUGGGAUGUAAAAGAGGCGCGCGAGCUUUGGGGGCCCAACGCGCUCUUUGUGUUUGUAAAUGAUCCAUCCGCAGGUUCACCUACGGAUA
rnacentral:misc_RNA from 1 species